AGCAGCCGCGGUAAUUCCAGCUCCAAUAGCGUAUAUUAAAGUUGUUGCAGUUAAAAAGCUCGUAGUUGAAUUUCGGGGUUAGCAGGUCGGUCGUGCCAUCGGUAUGAACUGGUCUCGCUGAUCCCUCCCUCUUGACGAACUGUGAUGCCAUUAAUUUGGUGUCGCAGGGAAUCAGGACUGUUACUUUGAAAAAUUAGAGUGUUUAAAGCAGGCUUAACGUCUGAAUACAUUAGCAUGGAAUAAUAAAAUAGGACGGUUUGGUUCUAUUUUGUUGGUUUCUAGGAUCACCGUAAUGAUUAAUAGGGAUAGUUGGGGGCAUUAGUAUUCAAUUGUCAGAGGUGAAAUUCUUGGAUUUAUUGAAGACUAACUAUUGCGAAAGCACUUGCCAAGGAUGUUUUCAUUAAUCAAGAACGAAAGUUAGGGGAUCGAAGACGAUCAGAUACCGUCGUAGUCUUAACCAUAAACUAUGCCGACUAGGGAUCGGACGAAGUUAAUUUUUAAAUGUAACUCGUUCGGCACC
rnacentral:rRNA from 1 species